rnacentral:miRNA from 1 species
CAGAGACAGAGAGGAGAAAGGAA